GAUGAACGCUAGCGGCAGGCUUAAUACAUGCAAGUCGAGGGGCAUCAAGGUACACGAAAGUGUAUUGUUGGCGACCGGCGGACGGGUGAGUAAUAGGUAGGUAACCUACCUCAUACUGAGGCAUAGCUGGGAGAAAUUCCAGGUAAUUCCUCAUGAGGUUAUAUGACACAUGUGAUAUAAUCAAAGGUAUCGCAAGGUACUGGUAUGAGAUGGGCUUACUGACCAUUAGCUAGUUGGUGAGAUAAGAGCUCACCAAGGCGAAGAUGGUUAGGGGUUUUGAGAGAGAGAUCCCCCACAUUGGAACUGAGAUACGGUCCAGACUCCUACGGGAGGCAGCAGUAGGGAAUAUUGGGCAAUGGGCGAAGCCUGACCCAGCCAUGCCGCGUGAAGGAAGACGGCCUUAUGGGUUUAAACUUCUUUAACUAUGCGACUAACUAGAUUUACGAGAUAAUUCUAUAGAAUGUAGCAUAGCAAAAGCAACCGG
rnacentral:rRNA from 1 species